rnacentral:rRNA from 1 species
UACGUAGGGCGCAAGCGUUGUCCGGAAUUAUUGGGCGUAAAGAGCUCGUAGGCGGCUUGUCACGUCGGGUGUGAAAGCCCGGGGCUUAACCCCGGGUCUGCAUUCGAUACGGGCUGGCUAGAGUGUGGUAGGGGAGAUCGGAAUUCCUGGUGUAGCGGUGAAAUGCGCAGAUAUCAGGAGGAACACCGGUGGCGAAGGCGGAUCUCUGGGCCAUUACUGACGCUGAGAAGCGAAAGCAUGGGGAGCGAACAGG